rnacentral:rRNA from 1 species
AUUGAACGCUGGCGGCAGGCUUAACACAUGCAAGUCGAGCGGGUUGAUGGUGCUUGCACUAUCACUUAGCGGCGGACGGGUGAGUAAUGCUCAGGAAUCUGCCUAUUAGUGGGGGACAACAUCUCGAAAGGGAUGCUAAUACCGCAUACGUCCUACGGGAGAAAGCAGGGGAUCACUUGUGACCUUGCGCUACUAGAUGAGCCUAAGUCGGAUUAGUUAGUUGGUGGGGUAAAGGCCUACCAAGGCGACGAUCUGUAGCGGGUCUGAGAGGAUGGUCCGCCACACUGGGACUGAGACACGGCCCAGACUCCUACGGGAGGCAGCAGUGGGGAAUAUUGGACAAUGGGGGGAACCCUGAUCCAGCCAUGCCGCGUGUGUGAAGAAGGCCUUAUGGUUGUAAAGCACUUUAAGCGAGGAGGAGGCUCUUUUGGUUAAUACCCAAGAUGAGUGGACGUUACUCGCAGAAUAAGCACCGGCUAACUCUGUGCCAGCAGCCGCGGUAA